rnacentral:rRNA from 1 species
AUUCCAGCUCCAAUAGCGUAUAUUAAAGUUGUUGCAGUUAAAAAGCUCGUAGUUGGAUUUCUGACAGGGGGCCGAACACCACUGUAGUGAGUGUUUUGGUACCUGUCAUCCUUCUGUUAACCCUAGCGUCAUUCAUUUGUCGUUGGGCGGACCAGAUACUUUACCUUGAGAAAAUUAGAGUGUUUCAGGCAGGCCUAGCCGGAAUACAUUAGCAUGGAAUAAUGGAAUAGGACUAUAGUCUCGUCGUUGGUUACGUGGACUGCAGUAAUGAUUAAUAAGGAUAGUUGGGGGCAUUAGUAUUUAUUAGCUAGAGGUGGAAUUCUUGGAUUUUGGAAAGAUGAACUACUGCGAAGGCAUUUACCAAGGAUGUUUUCAUCG